AGCCGGAUAGUAUAGUGGUUAUAUAUACCGACUAAAGACUACCGUAGUAGAUGCUAGGAAAAACUUCCGGUAUCUACCUAGUAGAUAUCGUAAUCUUCUUCUUAGUAUUUCCUCGUCGGUCUUCGGGAAGUGUACGUAGGUUCGAGUCCUACUCUAGCUA